rnacentral:rRNA from 1 species
UUUGACCUCAAAUCAGGUAGGACUACCCGCUGAACUUAAGCAUAUCAAUAAGCGGAGGAAAAGAAACCAACAGGGAUUGCCUCAGUAGCGGCGAGUGAAGCGGCAAAAGCUCAAAUUUGAAAUCUGGCGUCUUUGGCGUCCGAGUUGUAAUUUGAAGAAGGUAUCUUUGGGCCCGGCUCUUGUCUAUGUUCCUUGGAACAGGACGUCACAGAGGGUGAGAAUCCCGUGCGAUGAGA